UACAGAGGUCCCAAGCGUUGUUCGGAUUCACUGGGCGUAAAGGGUGCGUAGGUGGUUAGGUAAGUCCGAUGUGAAAUCUCCAGGCUCAACCUGGAAAUGGCAUUGGAUACUAUUUAGCUUGAGGAGUGGAGGGGGGACUGGAAUUCUCGGUGUAGCAGUGAAAUGCGUAGAUAUCAAGCGGAACACCAGUGGCGAAGGCGAGUCCCUGGACAACUCCUGACACUGAGGCACGAAAGCUAGGGGAGCAAACAGG
rnacentral:rRNA from 1 species